rnacentral:rRNA from 1 species
CCUACGGGCUGCACCAGUGGGGAAUAUUGCACAAUGGGCGCAAGCCUGAUGCAGCCAUGCCGCGUGUAUGAAGAAGGCCUUCGGGUUGUAAAGUACUUUCAGCGAGGAGGAAGGCGUUAAGGUUAAUAACCUUAGGGAUUGACGUUACUCGCAGAAGAAGCACCGGCUAACUCCAUGCCAGCAGCCGCGGUAAUACGGAGGGUGCAAGCGUUAAUCGGAAUUACUGGGCGUAAAGCGCACGCAGGCGGUCUGUUAAGUCAGAUGUGAAAUCCCCGGGCUCAACCUGGGAACUGCAUUUGAAACUGGCAGGCUAGAGUCUUGUAGAGGGGGGUAGAAUUCCAGGUGUAGCGGUGAAAUGCGUAGAGAUCUGGAGGAAUACCGGCGGCGAAGGCGGCCCCCUGGACAAAGACUGACGCUCAGGUGCGAAAGCGUGGGGAGCAAACAGGAUUAGAUACCCUUGUAGUC